rnacentral:rRNA from 1 species
AGGCAGCAGUGAGGAAUAUUGGACAAUGGGCGCAAGCCUGAUCCAGCCAUGCCGCGUGCAGGAUGACGGUCCUAUGGAUUGUAAACUGCUUUUAUACGAGAAGAAACAUCCCGACGUGUCGGGACUUGACGGUAUCGUAAGAAUAAGGAUCGGCUAACUCCGUGCCAGCAGCCGCGGUAAUACGGAGGAUCCAAGCGUUAUCCGGAAUCAUUGGGUUUAAAGGGUCCGUAGGCGGUUUAGUAAGUCAGUGGUGAAAGCCCAUCGCUCAACGGUGGAACGGCCAUUGAUACUGCUAGACUUGAAUUAUUAGGAAGUAACUAGAAUAUGUAGUGUAGCGGUGAAAUGCUUAGAGAUUACAUGGAAUACCAAUUGCGAAGGCAGGUUACUACUAAUGGAUUGACGCUGAUGGACGAAAGCGUGGGUAGCGAACAGGAUUAGAUACCCUGGUAG